rnacentral:rRNA from 1 species
AACGAACGCUGGCGGCAUGCCUAACACAUGCAAGUCGAACGAAGCCUUCGGGCUUAGUGGCGCACGGGUGCGUAACGCGUGGGAAUCUGCCCUUGGGUUCGGAAUAACAGUUAGAAAUGACUGCUAAUACCGGAUGAUGUCUUCGGACCAAAGACUUAUCGCCCAAGGAUGAGCCCGCGUAGGAUUAGGUAGUUGGUGGGGUAAUGGCCCACCAAGCCGACGAUCCUUAGCUGGUCUGAGAGGAUGAUCAGCCACACUGGGACUGAGACACGGCCCAGACUCCUACGGGAGGCAGCAGUGGGGAAUAUUGGACAAUGGGCGAAAGCCUGAUCCAGCAAUGCCGCGUGAGUGAUGAAGGCCUUAGGGUUGUAAAGCUCUUUUACCAGGGAUGAUAAUGACAGUACCUGGAGAAUAAGCCCCGGCUAACUCCGUGCCAGCAGCCGCCGUAA